UUUUUUUUUUACCACAAAGCCGGUUUAGGUGGUUCUUAGCUAUGAACAAGAUAGAAAACCCAGAACUAAAAACGUAUGUCUCAGUAAUAAAAAAAUGGAUUGCAUGUACGUAUGGACCACAGCCUAUACAUUUGGAAUAUAAGAUUAAACUUUCGGGAAAUAGUCCAGUUGGAAAUGCGUGUUAUGAUGUGUUGGUGGAUGUCCGGUUUCCAGUUGCAAAGGGAACUGAAUGCUUUACUAGCUGCUACUGAGAAAGGUAAAGAGAUUGAAGCUUGUGAUGAAGCGAUAUGUACUUCAAUUAGGAAGAUUAAUGAACAUCGUAAAAGGCGAGCUUUUUUCCUUGGGUUCAGUCAGUCACUUGUUGAGUUUAUCGAUGCUUUGAUUGAAUCGCAAGGAAGAGAUCUGAAGCUUGCAGCAGGGGAAGCAAGCCGUAACGCUGAAAAAGAAGCCCGUGCUGAGUUCUACAAUCAGCCAUGAUCAUUUGUUUUUUAGUACUCCUACACCAAAGGAUUUUGUAAUUUGAAUAAAGAAUGACAUGAGUGUUUUGCCACACAUUGGUGCUCUAAGAGAGCGGCAACGCGCGGGCAUUCCCACUAGCUGCCACUGACAAAGGUAAAGAGAUUGAAGCUUGUGAUGAAGCGAUAUGUACUUCAAUUAGGAAGAUUAAUGAACAUCGUAAAAGGCGAGCUUUUUUCCUUGGGUAGCAGUAAGGCCAAACGAGGUUGGUAAGAAGAAACAAUUAUUUUUAGUUUUGUUUUUUUAUUUUUUUUUGGAUUUGCUUAACAUCGUUUUGUUUUGUAAUGGGGCGAUCCUAUAUAAUUUUAAAAUUUCGGACGAAAAAUCGAAAAUUUUACACUUCUAACCGAAACAUUGGGGGGCGGAUGCACCCCUCGGUUCCCACUAAGCUCCGCCCCUGAAUGUAAGGUAAAAUGUAAUUUCUUUUUUCUUUCUGUAUUUUUAGGUUUAGUAUAUCCAAAAUAUUUAUGUGUCUACUGAGGCGAUAAUAUAUGCAGAUCUUUUGAUGAUAAUGCCAUGGCACCAUCUCAUAACUGGGAGUGAAUAAAAGUUUGAGUUAUUUAUAGUAAUAUAACUGGAAAAAGAACAAGAUUUGAAUUUUGAUUUCACCUGGCCUUGAAACUAUUUAUGUGAGAAUCAUAGCUUACUUUUAAACCUAAUAUUUCCAUUAUGCAACUUGUGUCAAUGAUGACAUGGUUAUGGUUAAGGUCAGUUCUCUUAAAGCAUGGAUUAGCACUACUGUUAUCUUUCAGUCUUGAAACUAGAGACGGCAAAACGGACCUGUUAGGUGGGUUGGAUAACAAUUCAAAAUGGGUAGAUUUUUUAGCAGGUUGAGUUGGGUUGACCCGCUAACGUUUAUAUAUAAAUGUACUGUUUUUAUUAAUCUAGAUUAUUAAUGGUUUCUUUUCUUCAGUUAAAUGCAGACGUGGAUCGGAAAUGAUUGGUCGUGGCUUGUUCAUGAAGAAGGCUCAGUGAAGGGACGAACAAAUUUGUCGAGCUGGUUUUUUUGUAUAUAUAAAUUUACUACAAGAGUUGCAAAUAAAUAGUGUAACUGAUACAUUCUGUAGUUCGCUUUAUAUGGUCUUCAAAUGAUUGGUCAUGGCUUGUUCAUGAAGAAGGCUCAGCGAAGGGAGAAACAAAUUUGUCGAGCUGGUUUUUUUGUAUAGAUAAAUUUACUACAAGAGUUGCAAAUAAAUAGGGUAAUGGAUACAUUCUGUAGUUCGCUUUAUAUCUAUUUCAAAUGAUUGGUGGUGGCUUGUUCAGGAAA